AUGGCGUCCGUGAAGUCGAACCAGCUCAACACCCUCGUGGCCAACAUGUUCGCUGCGGGUAUGCUGGACGAUCAGUUCCGGCAGCUUCAAAUGCUCCAGGAUGAGAGCGCGCCAGACUUUGUUGCCGAGGUCAUCACGCUUUUCUGCGAGGAGGGCAAGCGUAUCAUCGGCGAGAUCACCAAGCAGUUGGACCAACCAUAUGUGGACUAUGACAAGAUGGACAUAUUUGUUGAUCAGCUCUGGGGAAGCAGUGCACAUGUUGGUGCUCAAAGAGUGAAGAACACUUGCAUUCGGUUUCAUGAGUGUUGUCAGGAGAAGAGCAGAGUUGGGUGCCUGAAGACACUGGAUUCUGUGAGAAAUGAUUUCUAUGAUCUGUGCAGCAUGUUCACACCAUAUGCUUCAGCUGGAGUAGCACGUCCUAAACUGUAG
rnacentral:rRNA from 1 species